rnacentral:lncRNA from 1 species
AUAAAAAAAAAGAUUGAAGGGAAACAAGUGCAAAAUGGGGACCCAGUGUCAGAGGUAUGCUGCUCUUCUUUAAAAAAAAAAAAAAAAAAUGUUUUCCAGACAAUUAAUAUAGUUGACUCUUUAUUGAUUUUUGCUUUUAUCUUCAUUAUUUCCUUCCUACUGCUUAUUUUCCAUUAAAUUUGUCCUUUUUAUUCUAGUUUUUAAAGGUAGUUGAUUUGAGAUAUUUAUUUUCUAGUGUAGGCCUU